GUUUGUGUUCUUAGAAUACGGGAUGUAUAAAUAAACACACUGGUCGUUUUUGGUUAUACGAGAGUUAGAAAAUGACGUGGGUGAACCGACUGAUUUCUAAAAAAUUAUCCACUGAAUAAUUAACAGCAUAAAAAGGAAGUCAUUUUAAAAAUAGAAGUUUUUUAUAUCUCUAAAGGAUACUUCUUAAAUAAUGAAAAUAAUCUUAUGAAAAAAAAAAGUUUUAAUAUUUAAAUGUAAAAGGAAGUGGGACAUGAUUGCUACGAAUCAUCUUGAAUAAUACGUGCAGUAAACCAACAUAAAACAGUUACACGCUUGCGUAAAAAUGUGGC